AUAUUUAUAUAUAUAGAGAGAGAGAGAACUAGGCUAAUAUACUAUUAAUAGCACGAAAUAUUUGGUGCUUCCAAGUUUUUAGCCAUUGGAUUGAAAGAUGUGCGGUUAGGAUGAUGUGGGCCCCUAGGGUUGAGUGGGUGGUUGGUUGAAUAGUAUGAUCUAACGGGUGAAAAUGAUCAAAAUAGUAGAUCUAACGGCAGAAAACUUGGUAGCACCAAGUGUUUUGUGCUAUUAGUAGCAUAGUAGCCGGACUCUAUAUAUAUAUAUAUAUAUAUAUAUAUAUAUAUAUAAGGGUUGAGGGAGGGAAGAAGGAGGAAAAGGGUUAAGCUACAAGUAUAUAAUUAACGGCAUUGUUCUAACCAAUCAUGCCUGAAUGAAUGUAUACGGUGAAGAACUUGAGCUGGGCUUGAGCCACGUCCCCUAAAGAUAAUACUAUUUUUUUCUAUCUAGAUUACCCACCAUAUAGAUGAAAGAUUGGUCAGUUCAUUUAUUCGACUGCGCCUGUCAAUCUUGCUGCAACAUUUCUCCCAAAAUCCUGUUACACCGUACUUUAUUAUCACUACUACUUAUUAUUUUUCAGGUUAUUAC
rnacentral:lncRNA from 1 species